AGAGUUUGAUCAUGGCUCAGGACGAACGCUGGCGGCGUGCCUAACACAUGCAAGUCGAACGGAGUGAGGCCCUUCGGGACCUUUACCUAGUGGCGAACGGGUGAGUAACGCGUGAGGAACCUGCCUUUCAGUGGGGGACAACAGUUGGAAACGACUGCUAAUACCGCAUGAAGCUUUUGGGAGACAUCUCCUGGAAGCCAAAGCUUAAUGUGCUGAAAGAUGGCCUCGCGUCUGAUUAGCUAGUUGGUGGGGUAACGGCCCACCAAGGCGACGAUCAGUAGCCGGUCUGAGAGGAUGAACGGCCACAUUGGGACUGAGAUACGGCCCAGACUCCUACGGGAGGCAGCAGUGGGGAAUAUUGGGCAAUGGGCGAAAGCCUGACCCAGCAACGCCGCGUGAAGGAAGAAGGCCUUCGGGUUGUAAACUUCUUUUACCAGGGACGAAGGACGUGACGGUACCUGGAGAAAAAGCAACGGCUAACUACGUGCCAGCAGCCGCGGUAAUACGUAGGUUGCAAGCGUUGUCCGGAUUUACUGGGUGUAAAGGGCGCGUAGGCGGAGAUGCAAGUUAGGAGUGAAAUCUAUGGGCUCAACCCAUAAACUGCUUCUAAAACUGUAUCCCUUGAGUAUCGGAGAGGCAAGCGGAAUUCCUAGUGUAGCGGUGAAAUGCGUAGAUAUUAGGAGGAACACCAGUGGCGAAGGCGGCUUGCUGGACGACAACUGACGCUGAGGCGCGAAAGCGUGGGGAGCAAACAGGAUUAGAUACCCUGGUAGUCCACGCUGUAAACGAUGAAUACUAGGUGUGGGGGGACUGACCCCCUCCGUGCCGCAGUUAACACAAUAAGUAUUCCACCUGGGGAGUACGACCGCAAGGUUGAAACUCAAAGGAAUUGACGGGGGCCCGCACAAGCAGUGGAUUAUGUGGUUUAAUUCGACGCAACGCGAAGAACCUUACCAGGACUUGACAUCCAACUAACGAAGUAGAGAUACAUCAGGUGCCCUUCGGGGAAAGUUGAGACAGGUGGUGCAUGGUUGUCGUCAGCUCGUGUCGUGAGAUGUUGGGUUAAGUCCCGCAACGAGCGCAACCCCUAUUGUUAGUUGCUACGAAAGAGCACUCUAGCGAGACUGCCGUUGACAAGACGGAGGAAGGCGGGGACGACGUCAAAUCAUCAUGCCCCUUAUGUCCUGGGCUACACACGUAAUACAAUGGGUACAACAAAGAGAAGCGAGACCGCAAGGUGGAGCAAAACUCAGAAAAGUACUCUCAGUUCAGAUUGUGGGCUGCAACCCGCCCACAUGAAGUUGGAGUUGCUAGUAAUCGCGGAUCUGCAUGCCGCGGUGAAUACGUUCCCGGGCCUCGUACACACCGCCCGUCACACCAUGGGAGUUGGGAGCGCCCGAAGCCAGUGAGGUAACCGAAAGGAGCCAGCUGUCGAAGGUGAGACCAAUGACUGGGGUGAAGUCGUAACAAGGUA
rnacentral:rRNA from 1 species